rnacentral:rRNA from 1 species
UGGGGAAUAUUGGACAAUGGGGGGAACCCUGAUCCAGCAAUGCCGCGUGUGUGAAGAAGGCCUGAGGGUUGUAAAGCACUUUCGGUGGGGAGGAGGUUUGAUUGGUUAAGAGCUGAUUAAAUGGACGUUACCCACAGAAGAAGCACCGGCUAACUCCGUGCCAGCAGCCGCGGUAAUACGGAGGGUGCGAGCGUUAAUCGGAAUUACUGGGCGUAAAGGGUGCGUAGGUUGUUAAUUAAGUUAUCUGUGAAAUACCUGGGCUUAACCUGGGCAGGUCAGAUAAGACUGAUUGACUCGAGUAUAGGAGAGGGUAGUGGAAUUUCCGGUGUAGCGGUGAAAUGCGUAGAGAUCGGAAGGAACAUCGGUGGCGAAGGCGGCUACCUGGCCUGAUACUGACACUGAGGCACGAAAGCGUGGGGAGCAAACAGGAUUAGAUACCCCCGUAGUCC